AGUGAACGCUGGCGGUAGGCCUAACACAUGCAAGUCGAACGGCAGCACAGUAAGAGCUUGCUCUUACGGGUGGCGAGUGGCGGACGGGUGAGGAAUACAUCGGAAUCUACUUUUUCGUGGGGGAUAACGUAGGGAAACUUACGCUAAUACCGCAUACGAUCUACGGGUGAAAGCAGUGGAUCUUCGGACCUUUCGCGAUUGAAUGAGCCGAUUUCGGAUUAGCUAGUUGGCGGGGUAAAGGCCCACCAAGGUGACGAUCCGUAGCUGGUCUGAGAGGAUGAUCAGCCACACUGGAACUGAGACACGGUCCAGACUCCUACGGGAGGCAGCAGUGGGGAAUAUUGGACAAUGGGCGCAAGCCUGAUCCAGCCAUACCGCGUGGGUGAAGAAGGCCUUCGGGUUGUAAAGCCCUUUUGUUGGGAAAGAAAAGCAGUAGGUUAAUACCCCGCUGUUCUGACGGUACCGAAAGAAUAAGCACCGGCUAACUUCGUG
rnacentral:rRNA from 1 species